rnacentral:lncRNA from 1 species
AAAGCUUACUACGAGUGAGGCCUUAGUUUUAUCUUUUAUUUUAGUUAAGUCGUUACCUAAUCAUUCUAGAUGAUAACAAAAGUAAAACAAUCAUAGCUGUUAAAUCAUACAGUACUUGGCAACAGGAGAUUUUAUAUCACAUGAGUUUAUACUACGAUGCUCAACAGUGAUCAAGUGCAUUCAUAACCGAGAAUUGCGGCGAUCCGGAUCUAAUUACAUCCUGCAGGAGAGUACCCCGAUCACCAGCAUUAUACGACUGUCCAGGUCGUACUAACAACCUCUCGAUUAGUAAAGUCAAUGAUUAGGAAUACAACUACCCGGACCCAGGGAUGCACCCCCACAUGGGACCCCACGUCUGGCCUGAUCUCCAUGUGAGUUUCAGGCUACACCCCUGCCAAUCUCCAGCACGUCAAGCGCGGGUACGAAGCAUUCCUGAUCAUAGAAUUUACUAACCUACUGGGCUUUACUGGUCCCAUACCCAGUAAGUGAUCAGAUGUUUAUCACUUGAUCAGCGGUUAAGACACGAAUCGGGCCUUAACCAGAUUAAUCUAGCAGACAGAACUACAUCUCUAGCUUCUGUCUGUUUUUAUAUUCCAGACUAUCCUUCAUAAGCAACAUGUAUGACUUAAGAGUUUUCCUUAAGGUUGGUAAACCAAUCAUGUAAGCAAGUAAGCAAUUCUAGACUUGGGUAGUUUCUAGGAUUUGAACAAGUGGCAAAGAUGUCCUUAAAUCAAGGCAGGAUCAUACACAAACAUAGGUUUCAUUCAACUCCUAGACUUAGUGCAUGC